rnacentral:piRNA from 1 species
UGUUUCUACCCAGAACUCUCUUGCCUC